rnacentral:rRNA from 1 species
GCUUAUGGUCAUACCACCCUGAACAUGCCCAAUCUUGUCUGAUUUUGGAAGCUAAGCAGGGUCAGGCCUGGUUAACACUUGGAUGGGGUAAAAGCC